rnacentral:rRNA from 1 species
UAACGAAUAUUCCGCAAUGCACGAAAGUGUGACGGAGCAAUGCCGCGUGCAGGAUGAAGCCCCUCGGGGUGUAAACUGCUGUCAGGGGCCACCAAGCUCUGAGGAACCCCAGAGGAAGGACCGGCUAACUUCGUGCCAGCAGCCGCGGUAAUACGAAGGGUCCAAGCGUAGCGCGGAAUCACUGGGCUUAAAGGGUGCGUAGGCGGGCUUGCAAGUGCCUUGUGAAAGCCCUCGGCUUAACCGGGGAAUUGCUUGGUAGACUGCAAGUCUUGAGGUCGAAAGAGGCUGCCGGAACUGUAGGUGUAGCGGUGAAAUGCGUAGAUAUCUACAGGAACGCCAAAGGAGUAAUCAGGCAGCUGGUUCGAUUCUGACGCUGAGGCACGAAAGCGUGGGUAGCGAACGGGAUUAGAUACCCCCGUAGUCC